rnacentral:rRNA from 4 species
CUGGAGGUAUCAGAAGUGCGAAUGCUGACAUAAGUAACGAUAAAGCGGGUGAAAAGCCCGCUCGCCGGAAGACCAAGGGUUCCUGUCCAACGUUAAUCGGGGCAGGGUGAGUCGACCCCUAAGGCGAGGCCGAAAGGCGUAGUCGAUGGGAAACAGGUUAAUAUUCCUGUACUUGGUGUUACUGCGAAGGGGGGACGGAGAAGGCUAUGUUGGCCGGGCGACGGUUGUCCCGGUUUAAGCGUGUAGGCUGGUUUUCCAGGCAAAUCCGGAAAAUCAAGGCUGAGGCGUGAUGACGAGGCACUACGGUGCUGAAGCAACAAAUGCCCUGCUUCCAGGAAAAGCCUCUAAGCAUCAGGUAACAUCAAAUCGUACCCCAAACCGACACAGGUGGUCAGGUAGAGAAUACCAAGGCGCUUGAGAGAACUCGGGUGAAGGAACUAGGCAAAAUGGUGCCGUAACUUCGGGAGAA